rnacentral:misc_RNA from 1 species
AUUGUCUUGAUAUGAGAAGCUUGCUCAAAUAGCAGGCUUGGCUUGCUCAAACAAGCCUGCUGUGCUUGUUUGGAAGAACUAACCCAUCAACCAGCAGAGAAGCUUGUACUUCUGAAGUGGUCUUAAGGGGCUCACACUUAACCAUUCACCAUAACUGGUGAGAAACAGUUGUUCAUAGUGUAUGCAGACGGCCCAGAAGGAUGACAACUUCUGUCAUGUUCAACACUUCUGAGAAUAUUGAGCUUUUUGUAAAGGAGGAAAUAAAGAUUGAGGCUACUUCACCAGAGCCUGAGUGGCCCCCGCCAUCACCCGCAUCUGAAGAAUGUGCUUCGUCGGACCAUGCUGGGCAGUUUAUCAAACUGGAGAGGAAUGCACAGAGCCGGUCGCCAUCACCAACAGUUGACUUCAAUGGGUUCACAGACUUUGAUCGAGACAGUGCUCACUACAUUGCCGAUACAAAGAUUGACAGCCUAUUGGGAUGCCUGCCAGAUCUACAAGAUACAUCAGAUGCACAUCCCGACGGAAAGGUUCCUAAGAGUCGCCGCAUGGUGAUAAACUACAGAGAGGUGGAUGGUCUGAACGACAACAGCAUGUUCUGUGAGCUGUGCUGCUGUGAUUGGGACGGAGAUUGUCCUGUCCAUGGUCCGCUGAAGGUCAUACAAGACACUAAGGUACCACCGGGAGUCGGGGACCGGAAGAGGGACGUCAAAACUCUGCCGCAUUUCCUCAGCACUGGCCAGUCGAAAAUAUCAGAAUCCAGCACCGGAGUGUGGGCAGAUAAGGAUAUUCCGGCGCGCCACAGACUCGGUCCCUACGAGGGCACCCUAAGUACCGACCGACGACAAGUCCGAACCACCGGGUACAGGUGGAAGAUCAAGAAGGGUGACCGUGUUCAUCACUCGGUGAAUGCCGAGGACCCGAGCUGCAGCAACUGGCUCAGAAGGGUCAACUGUGCCCGCUCGGAGGAAGAAGCGAAUCUGAUUCCCUUCCAGCACAGGGGCCUGAUAUACUUCAGGACAUCAAAGCCCAUCCCGAAAGGGUCAGAGCUGCUGGUGUACUACGGAGACGACUCGGCCCCCCGGGAGCUGACCGUCCACUCGGAGACGUCUGGGGAGGCUGUGACUUCCUCUCCGGCCGGACCGUCAUCUUCAGGUAUCGGAGGCUCGGUCUGCUGUCCCCACUGCGACUACGCCUGUUCGGGACAAGAUCACCUCGGCAGUCACGUGAAGAAAUAUCACAGCAACAUCGGCAGGAACGGCAGACUCAAGUGUGAGUGGUGUCCGUACUCCACCGAUAUAUCCGCCCAUAUGGCAAACCACCAAAGGACCCACACCGGGGAGCGGCCAUAUAAGUGCAACUCCUGUCCGGCACGGUUUACUCAGCAGUCCAGUCUCCAACGACACGUGAAGAUUCAUGCAGAGGAGAGACCGUACGGCUGCCCCUCCUGCCCAGCACGGUUUAAGACCAAAACAGAUCUCUCGCGUCACAUGCAGACACACACGGGGGAGAGACCGUACGGCUGCCCCUCCUGUCCAGCACGGUUUAAUGACCGAUCAAAUCUCUCGCGUCACAUGCGGACCCACACGGGAGAACGGCCUUAUUGUUGUACCUCUUGUGCGUCACGGUUUAGUGACCGAUCACAUCUUAUUCGACACUUAAGAACCCAUACGGGGGAGAGACCAUAUGGAUGCUCCUCCUGCAUAGCACGCUUUAAUCGCCGAUCACAUCUCAUUCAACACACGCGGACCCACACGGGGGAGCGGUCAUAUGCGUGUAGCUCAUGUGCGGCACGGUUCAGUGAACGAUCUAAUCUCAUUCGACACAUUCGGACCCACACGGGAGAGCGGGCGUAGAACUGACAUUCUUGUCUGGCACGCUUCAUUAUAGCAUUAUACUUGACAUUCGCGUCACCUGCAGACCAUUACACACUCGCAUGUCUGCCAGUACAGGUGCGAUCAAUGUGACAGGGGUAUUGUUAGACGCACCAAGUUGUGUAGACAUGUUUAGCAAGUUUAGCAAUUUAGCAGAAUGUUUACAGGUUUAGCAAGUUGAGCAGGAUGCUGAUGAUCGUUUGAUGUUUAUAGUUUCAAUACCUAUAUUUAAUCGGUGUUUUUAGGAAGGAGAGGGCAAAAUAUGAACAAAUCGUUUUAAUUCUUAUAUAAAGCGAAACUGUUUUCACAUGACUGAAAUCUCCUAUCCAGCUCGACGAUUUUUGGUGUUCUUCCCACGAUGUUGCUCUUGCUUACGUGAUUGACGCUUUUUAUGUAUUUUAUCUGGUUAGAAUCAAUGUCGUGUGCGACGGUCGCAUUCAAUUGUGAAAUCCAUACUGUGGUAAAAUUCAUAUACCCUGGUUGCUGACGGGUCGAUGCAUCGCGAUGUAAACUGGACCGAUCGUUUAAUCUAUUGGACGGGUAUUUUCUUUGUAUGUGCGAUGAAUACAUGUAAAUAGAGUG